UGUCCCACUAUCGAUUCAAAACUAAAUAGUUAAGUACAGUCAUUAUUAUUAAAGUUUAUGGUCUCUUAUAUUCUUAUUCGCAAUCUCUUUUUCAUUCAACGUGUCAGUCCUACAGUUUAGAUCUUGAUGUCUUCGUCCGGCCCAAAUUCAAUCACACAUAUAGAUCGGAAUUACCAAAUUAUUGAGCGAUGUGAGAUUCAAGAGAUGGCUCUCACCAAAUCUAUGGUGUAACAACUUUGUUCUGCAUAGCAUUUAACUUUGGCAUUCGUCUUUAAUGUCAAAUGUAAUGAGUGGCCUGACUAGAAAUAAUAAUUCGUUGGGUCUAAACCGUCGGCCUAAGAUGCUUAGGUGCAAUAAUUUUACUAAUAUUUAUAGUCUAUUAUAGUUUCUAUAGUAACUCUCUUUUCAUCCGAUAUGAGAUUAUUAGGGGGUUGAGAAUAGUAGUACUUAUGAAGAAGA
rnacentral:lncRNA from 1 species